rnacentral:lncRNA from 1 species
CGAAUCGAUGGGAAGGACGAGGCGACGACCGGAUAACGAGACUGACCGCGUAAUGGGCGCGCUGCUUAAGGAGGUCAGGAAGGUGGAUACGGAGCUCAUGCUGCUGAGAUGUUGAGAUCUUCAGCUCCAUCUUCUGCUCCAUCUGCAGCACCCGAGAUCAAGUGCUCAUCAGCAUACACACUGUCUGAAACCACUUGUCCCGAGUGGAGUCAUGGUGAACCGGAGCCUCACCUGGGAGCACGGGGGACACACCCAGGACAGGAUGCCAGUCUGCUGCAGGGGACCCCAAGCAGGACUCAAACCCCAGCCCCACCACAGAGCAGGACCUGGCCAAGCCUCAUCAACAUAGAACAGCCAUAUUUAUAUCUAUUUUUUUACUCCACUCUUCUCCCCAUACAAGAAUUACAAGUGUAGUUGUGCUGGAAGUUAUUUACACAUCCAUUACAUUUAUCUGACACUUUUCUCCAAAGCAACUUACAAUUAUUUUCCCAUUUAUAUAGCUGGGUAAUUUUACUAGAGCAAUUCAGGGUAAGUACCUUGCUCAAGGAUACUACAGCUGGAGGCAAGGCUUGAACCUGCAACCUUUGGGUCCAAAGGCAGUUGCUCUAACCACUAUGCUACCAGCUGCCCAAAAAUAAGUAACUGAAUUAAUUAUGGUACUAUUCCCAAUGGGGGUAAAACCUCUCAACAAGGUGUUUCUAUUGACAUGUACAGCUUCCUUUCAGGGGGCACUAGGAUUUAAACCUAGGAUCUCUUAAGCUGGAGUCAAAUGCUCUGCUACUGAGCAAUACCCCUGGACUAAACCCCCCUACACACUGUCCAUAUGGGAUGCUGCGGUAAACACGCACUUUUACACCACUGGGGAGAGUUCUGUAUCCAGGCUGCAGGGCCGAAGGCGACGGCGCAGCGACGCAGAUCGGCUCAGCUUUACGCACGGAAGCGUCCCUCCCAGACCCUGUCCCCGUCCCGCGUGUCCAUCGGUGUCCUUCGGGAGCGCAGCGGGCGUCGACCCCGUUGAAGGCGGCGCGCGGAGGUGAGUGCAGCCAUAGAUGCCCAGGGGGAGAGCUCAUUGCGCUAAUGGGAGGAUGCAUUUCGCCAACAUACAGGAAAUUUCAUUUACAGAGCACAUAGAUACAGAAUUAUAAAUAUCAUAAAUAUUGAUUUUUUUUUCACCGAGACCUGCUGCGAAUGAACGGUCCUGGAAAGGGAUUAUGCAGACGACGAUGGUGCUGCUUGAAUUCCUUUGAGUUCUUCGAUCAUCUCCGGCUCUUAAGCGUCUCUGACGAAGC